AUUGAACGCUGGCGGCAGGCUUAACACAUGCAAGUCGAGCGAGCGGCGGACGGGUGAGUAAUGUCUGGGAAACUGCCUGAUGGAGGGGGAUAACUACUGGAAACGGUAGCUAAUACCGCAUACCAUCGGAUGUACCCAGAUGGGAUUAGCUAGUAGGUGGGGUAAUGGCUCACCUAGGCGACGAUCCCUAGCUGGUCUGAGAGGAUGACCAGCCACACUGGGACUGAGACACGGUCCAGACUCCUACGGGAGGCAGCAGUGGGGAAUAUUGCACAAUGGGCGCAAGCAUGAUGCAGCCAUGCCGCGUGUGUGAAGAAGGCCUUAGGGUUGUAAAGUACGUUCAGCGAGGAGGCGUUACUCGCAGAAGAAGCACCGGCUAACUCCGUGCCAGCAGCCGCGGUAAUAC
rnacentral:rRNA from 1 species